CACAAAUUAAAAUAUGAAGGCUUCGGCUGGAUUACUUUUAUCACCCUUGACUUUUGCGCACUUGUUGUUUCCUGGGCGGGUUCGCCCGCCACCAGGACCACACCAUAAACCUUUUUUUAUGCAGUUGCAAUCAGCGUCAGUAUACAAAUGUAAAUCAUUUA
rnacentral:misc_RNA from 1 species